AAUCAACGCUGGCGGCGUGCCUCAGACAUGCAAGUCGAACGAGAAAGUUUCCUUCGGGGAAUGAGUAAAGUGGCGCACGGGUGAGUAACACGUAGGUAAUCUACCUUCGGGUGGGGAAUAACCCAGGGAAACUUAGGGCUAACACCGCAUAAUGCAGCGGCACCACAUGGUGACAGUUGUUAAAGCGGGGGAUCUUAGGACCUCGCGCCUGAAGAGGAGCCUGCGGCGGAUUAGCUAGUUGGUAAGGUAACGGCUUACCAAGGCGACGAUCCGUAACCGGCCUGAGAGGGCGGUCGGUCACACUGACACUGACAUACGGGUCAGACUCCUACGGGAGGCAGCAGUC
rnacentral:rRNA from 1 species